rnacentral:rRNA from 1 species
GACGGAGGGGGCAAGCGUUGUCCGGAAUUACUGGGCGUAAAGCGCAUGUAGGCGGUCGCGUACGGCGGUGGUGAAAGCUCUCGGCUCAACUGAGAGAGGCCCAUCGCAACGGCGUGACUGGAGGUUGGUAGAGGCAGAUGGAAUUCCUGGUGUAGCGGUGAAAUGCGUAGAGAUCAGGAGGAACACCCGUGGCGAAGGCGGUCUGCUGGGCCAUACCUGACGCUGAGAUGCGAAAGCGCGGGGAGUGAACGGGAUUAGAUACCCCGGUAAUCCGCGCCGUAAACGAUGGAUACUAGGUGUCAGCAGCAUCGACCCUGCUGGUGCCGCAGCUAACGCAGUAAGUAUCCCGCCUGGGGAGUACGGCCGCAAGGUUGAA